AGAUUGAACGCUGGCGGCAUGCUUUACACAUGCAAGUCGAACGGUAACAGGCCGCAAGGUGCUGACGAGUGGCGAACGGGUGAGUAAUGUAUCGGAACGUGCCCAGUCGUGGGGGAUAACGCAGCGAAAGCUGCGCUAAUACCGCAUACGAUCUAUGGAUGAAAGCGGGGGACCGUAAGGCCUCGCGCGAUUGGAGCGGCCGAUAUCAGAUUAGGUAGUUGGUGGGGUAAAGGCUCACCAAGCCAACGAUCUGUAGCUGGUCUGAGAGGACGACCAGCCACACUGGGACUGAGACACGGCCCAGACUCCUACGGGAGGCAGCAGUGGGGAAUUUUGGACAAUGGGGGCGCAAGCCUGAUCCAGCGAUGCCGCGUGCAGGAAGAAGGCCUUCGGUUGUAAACUGCUUUGUACGGAACGAAACGGUCCUGUAAUACUGGGCUAAUGACGGUACCGUAAGAAUAAAGCAACCGGCUAAACUACGUA
rnacentral:rRNA from 1 species